CCUACGGGGGGCUGCAGUGGGGAAUAUUGGACAAUGGGGGAAACCCUGAUCCAGCAAUGCCGCGUGUGUGAAGAAGGCCUGCGGGUUGUAACGCACUUUCGGUUGGGAAGAAAAGUUUGGCGCCAAUACCGCCGAACCUUGACGUUACUGACAGAAGAAGCACCGGCUAACUCUGUGCCAGCAGCCGCGGUACUACAGAGGGUGCAAGCGUUAGUCGGAAUCACUGGGCGGGUCACGUGCGUAGGUGGUCAAAUCCCCGGGCUUAACCGGGGAACUGCAUUCGAUACUACAUGGCUAGAGUAUGGUAGAGGGAAGUGGAAUUUCCGGUGUAGCGGUGAAAUGCGUAGAUAUCGGAAGGAAAACCAAUGGCGAAGGCAGCUUCCUGGACUAAUACAGACACUGAGGCACGAAAGCGUGGGUAGCAAACAGGAUUAGAUACCCCUGUAGUC
rnacentral:rRNA from 1 species